AGUGAGCGCUGGCGGUAGGCCUAACACAUGCAAGUCGAACGGCAGCACAGUAAGAGCUUGCUCUUACGGGUGGCGAGUGGCGGACGGGUGAGGAAUACAUCGUAAUCUACUUUUUCGUGGGGGAUAACGUAGGGAAACUUACUCUAAUACCGCAUACGCCCUACGGGUGAAAGCAGUGGAUCUUCGGACCUUUUGCGAUUGAAUGAGCCGAUGUCGGAUUAGCUAGUUGGCGGGGUAAAGGCCCACCCAGGCGACGAUCCGUAGCUGGUCUGAGAGGAUGAUCAGCCACACUGGAACUGAGACACGGUCCAGACUCCUACGGGAGGCAGCAGUGGGGAAUAUUGGACAAUGGGCGCAAGCCUGAUCCAGCCAUACCGCGUGGGUGAAGAAGGCCUUCGGGUUGUAAAGCCCUUUUGUUGGGAAAGAAAAGCAGCAGGUUAAUACCCCGCUGUUCUGACGGUACCCAAAGAAUAAGCACCGGCUAACUUCGUG
rnacentral:rRNA from 1 species